rnacentral:rRNA from 1 species
UACGAAGGGGGCUAGCGUUGCUCGGAAUCACUGGGCGUAAAGGGCGCGUAGGCGGCGUUUUUAAGUCGGGGGUGAAAAGCCUGUGGCUCAACCACAGAAUGGCCUUCGAUACUGGGACGCUUGAGUAUGGUAGAGGUUGGUGGAACUGCGAGUGUAGAGGUGAAAUUCGUAGAUAUUCGCAAGAACACCGGUGGCGAAGGCGGCCAACUGGACCAUUACUGACGCUGAGGCGCGAAAGCGUGGGGAGCAAACAGG